rnacentral:rRNA from 2 species
GACGAACCGUCCAAACGUUAUUCGGAAUCACUGGGCUUACAGAGUUCGUAGGCGGUCCGGUAAGUUAGGUGUGAAAUCCCUCGGCUCAACCGAGGAACUGCGCUUGAUACUGCCGGACUCGAGGGAGAUAGAGGAAAGCGGAACUGAUGGUGGAGCGGUGAAAUGCGUUGAUAUCAUCAGGAACACCGGUGGCGAAGGCGGCUUUCUGGGUCUCUUCUGACGCUGAGGAACGAAAGCUAGGGUAGCGAACGGG